rnacentral:lncRNA from 1 species
GGGCAACCUCUCGGACGCGCGCGCCGGGCCGACGUUAAACGGAAAGUUCUCCAAGAUAGAUUGUUAUGAAAAGGGCAAGUGCAGAAAAGUCUACACAGUCUGCUACCUGACAAGAAUGAAAAAAGUGAAGAAAACACGUAUCAUUCAUUAUUGACUGAUAUCAGCAGGAAUGAAUACUGGGCAGAUACACAAGAAAAAGAAAAGUGACCACCUGGGUAAGUUGAGGGAUGGAUUCUUUAUAUAUAUCUCUUUACUUCAAAUAGUUUGAACCCUGUGAAUGUAAUACUUAUUUAAAAAAAUAAACACAUUUUGUAUUCAGAAGAACUUCCCCUCAAUAAUAUUCUUUCUCUUCAUUUUAUCCUCCUUAUCUCCCCACACAUGAUGUAGAAUGUUUUUAAUAAAACAAUUUGCGGAUGCAGAAUCAAUCAGUAAUGUAGGAAUCAGUAAUGCCAUCCAUCCACUUAUUCCUUAGAAUUGGUAAGUUUGGCAGGCACUUAGGAUCCUGGCAUCUCUCUGAAAUGAGAAGCUUUUG